UACGUAGGGGGCAAGCGUUGUCCGGAUUUAUUGGGCGCAAAGAGCGUGUAGGCGGCUUUACAGGUCCGUUGUGAAAACUCGAGGCUCAACCUCGAGACGCCGGUGGAAACCGUAAAGCUAGAGUCCGGAAGAGGAGAGUGGAAUUCCUGGUGUAGCGGUGAAAUGCGCAGAUAUCAGGAAGAACACCCGUGGCGAAGGCGGCUCUCUGGGACGGUACUGACGCUGAGACGCGAAAGCGUGGGGAGCGAACAGG
rnacentral:rRNA from 1 species